rnacentral:rRNA from 1 species
GAAAUGCUUUUGUGCAAUGUAAAAAGUCGCACGAAUAAGGACCGGGCAAGACUGGUGCCAGCCGCCGCGGUAAUACCAGCGGUCCAAGUCGCAGCCACAUUUAUUGGGUCUAAAACAUCCGUAGCUUGUCUUGUAAGUCUCUUGUGAAAUCUGGCAUCUUAAGUGUCGGGCGAGCAAGAGAUACUGCGAGGCUUGGGACCGGGAGACGUAAGGAGUACAGUUGGGGUAGCGGUUAAAUGCGUUGAUCCUUACUGGACUAACAACAGCGAAGGCACCUUACGAGAACGGAUCUGACAGUGAGGGAUGAAGGCUAGGGGCGCAAAGCGGAUUAGAUACCCGCGUAGUCCUAGCAGUAAACCCUGCACACUAAACAUUGGGACCUCCUCGAGAGGUUUCAGUACUGAAGGGAAGCCGAAAAGUGUGCUACCUGGGAAGUAUAGUCGCAAGGCCGAAACUUAAAGGAAUUGGCGGGGGAGCAC